rnacentral:lncRNA from 1 species
CUUCCUAUGUGGUGAGAAGUCAACAGUAUCAUGGAACACUUGGUUUUGUGUCUCAUUUCAGCCUAGUAGAGGGACAAAGCAAGAAGUUUAAUGCCAACAUCAGAAGAGCCACUCAAGCAGACACAAGCAUUUGCCUGUGUACAGCAUAUACCCUGUGCCGGGCACGCUUUUCUAUUACUUCAUUUAACCCAUCUAUGCCUA